UGGAGGGGGAUAACUACUGGAAACGGUAGCUAAUACCGCAUAACGUCGCAAGACCAAAGUGGGGGACCUUCGGGCCUCAUGCCAUCAGAUGUGCCCAGAUGGGAUUAGCUAGUAGGUGGGGUAAUGGCUCACCUAGGCGACGAUCCCUAGCUGGUCUGAGAGGAUGACCAGCCACACUGGAACUGAGACACGGUCCAGACUCCUACGGGAGGCAGCAGUGGGGAAUAUUGCACAAUGGGCGCAAGCCUGAUGCAGCCAUGCCGCGUGUGUGAAGAAGGCCUUCGGGUUGUAAAGCACUUUCAGCGGGGAGGAAGGCGCCAAGGUUAAUAACCUUGGCGAUUGACGUUACCCGCAGAAGAAGCACCGGCUAACUCCGUGCCAGCAGCCGCGGUAAUACGGAGGGUGCAAGCGUUAAUCGGAAUUACUGGGCGUAAAGCGCACGCAGGCGGUCUGUCAAGUCGGAUGUGAAAUCCCCGGGCU
rnacentral:rRNA from 1 species